rnacentral:rRNA from 1 species
UACGUAGGAGGCAAGCGUUGUCCGGAAUUACUGGGCGUAAAGCGCGUGUAGGUGGUGGGACAAGUCUGCUGUGAAAGCGCCUGGCUUAACCGGGCGAGGUCGGCGGAAACUGUCCGGCUCGAGGACGGUAGAGGGGGGUGGAAUUCCCGGUGUAGUGGUGAAAUGCGUAGAGAUCGGGAGGAACACCUGUGGCGAAGGCGGCCCCCUGGGCCGGCCCUGACACUGAGACGCGAAGGCGUGGGGAGCGAACGGG